GGUUAAGCGACUAAGCGUACACGGUGGAUGCCCUGGCAGUCAGAGGCGAUGAAGGACGUGCUAAUCUGCGAUAAGCGUCGGUAAGGUGAUAUGAACCGUUAUAACCGGCGAUUUCCGAAUGGGGAAACCCAGUGU
rnacentral:rRNA from 1 species